GACGAACGCUGGCGGCGUGCCUAAUACAUGCAAGUCGAACGAGAGCACCCGGUGCUUGCACUGGUCAAUCUAGUGGCGAACGGGUGAGUAACACGUGGGUAACCUGCCCAUCAGAGGGGGAUAACAUCCGGAAACGGAUGCUAAAACCGCAUAGGUCUUCGAACCGCAUGGUUUGAAGAGGAAAAGAGGCGCAAGCUUCUGCUGAUGGAUGGACCCGCGGUGCAUUAGCUAGUUGGUGAGGUAACGGCUCACCAAGGCCGUGAUGCAUAGCCGACCUGAGAGAGUGAUCGGCCACAUUGGGACUGAGACACGGCCCAAACUCCUACGGGAGGCAGCAGUAGGGAAUCUUCCGCAAUGGACGCAAGUCUGACGGAGCAACGCCGCGUGAGUGAAGAAGGUUUUCGGAUCGUAAAACUCUGUUGUUAGAGAAGAACAAGUGCUAGAGUAACUGUUAGCGCCUUGACGGUAUCUAACCAGAAAGCCACGGCAAACUACGUG
rnacentral:rRNA from 1 species